GAGCUAUAGCUUAGUGGCAGAGCAUCUGCUUUGCAUGCAUAAGGUCCCAGGUUCAAUCCCCAGCAGCACCU